CUAGCUGAAUGGAGUGGAAUGAUUAACUCAAGCUUUUUUUUUUUUUUUUUUUUUUUUUUGUCAGGGUGAAAAUGGAAUUCAGGGACCACCGGGGCCAAUGGGGCCCAAAGGACCGCCUGGACAUAAGGGAGAGUUCGGUUUUCCAGGUCGACCAGGAAGGCCUGGUCUAAAUGGACUAAAAGGUGCCAAAGGAGAACGUGGAGUAGUGCUAUUAGGCCCACCUGGUUUGCCUGGGCCUCCAGGGCCUCCUGGACCACCUGGAGCUGUGAUUAACAUCAAAGGAGUAAGUACUUCCCCUAGAUCACUCGGCUUCUCCAUUGACUUUUAUUAAAGCAGAACAUACAUUUUGUAUUUAAAUGUAUUUAUUGAAUUAUCUUUCCUCUCAAUCUCAAACAGACGGUUUUCCCAAUUUCUCCCAGACCUCACUGCAAAACACCAGUAAGUUGACCUGCCUCGUUUAACCACAGGCAUUGACCAUGCAUGAAUUCCAUCCCCCCUCA
ensembl:lncRNA